CCAGGAAAUGGAAGCGUUUAAGCAAAUGGAAUUUUUUUUACCAAAAUUUAUUAAAACAACGUGGACAGGUUUUCUUUUUUUAAAAAAUUGACUGACAAAGUUAGUUUUGUAAAGUAUUUCUUGCAACCAUUUAAUUGAAUUCAAGUCUUAUGUAGUAUAAUUCAAUUCUUAUGUAGUGUAGCCUCUUCUUUGCAAGAAAGCAUCAUUUUAGGGUAAGAGCCAUUUCUCAGAUAUUCACCUUACUUUCUGUAGUAAGGCUUCAACAUGAUUGUGACUGCCUAUAACCCUUCAUCUUUCAUGGCCUGUGGAUUCUGAAAACAAAAAAAUGAAAGAACAAGACCUCUGAUAGAUUUCAUUGGCUUCUUGGAAGACCAGUAUCAGUCAAAGGAAGUAUGAUGACUUAUCAGAGAUGACUAAGUGAUCACAUCACCUAGAAAUGUGUGUGAGUCUCCUGAUUUUUGACCCAUGUGUGCCACAACUAGGAUGGAAUGAUUUCCCUAUCCUGAACUUGUUUGGGAAUACAGAAAAAAUGAUACACACAGUGAAAGAGAAGCUUUCUCCAUUACACUUGGGGCUCGGAGAUUAA
rnacentral:lncRNA from 1 species